rnacentral:tRNA from 1 species
GGUUCCACAGUGUAGCGGUUAGCACAUCUGCUUUACAAGCAGAAAGUCCUGGGUUUGCACCCCAGUGGAGGCC